GGAGAGAUCAAUGACUUGCAACUGUGACAUGCUCUUGAGAUACUUCCAUGAAAUGAUGCCGCUCAAGUUUCUUGAGGAAAGCCUUAUUUCUUGAGAACAGUUGGAAUCUGUAGGUUGGAACCAAGAAGGAUUGAAACCAGAAACAGACUUGAAAGCCUUAAAGAGCAGUUCUUGGUCCGUAAUAUUGCAGGUAGUAUUAGAUUCCGAUUCCACAAGCACAAUAAACAGCGAAAAGACAAGCAAGAACCUGCUAAACAUUUCCAUAUUUUCUGUUGACAGU
rnacentral:misc_RNA from 1 species